CAGGGAAUAGUUUAAGUAAGAAUAUCAGCUUUGGGAGUUGAAGGUGGA
rnacentral:tRNA from 1 species